rnacentral:rRNA from 1 species
GACGAACGCUGGCGGCGUGCUUAACACAUGCAAGUCGAGCGGAAAGGCCCUUUUGGGGGUACUCGAGCGGCGAACGGGUGAGGAACACGUUAGUAAUCUGCCCUGCACUUCGGGAUAGCUUCGGGAAACCGAGAUUAAUACCGGAUAGGACCUGGCCUCGCAUGGGGUUGGGUGGAAAGCUUGGGUGGUGUGGGAUGUGCUCGCGGCCUAUCAGCUUGAGGGUGGGGUAGUGGCCUACCAUGGAUUUGACGGGUAGCCGGCCUGAGAGGGUGACCGGCCACACUGGGACUGAGACACGGCCCAGACUCCUACGGGAGGCAGCAGUGGGGAAUAUUGGACAAUGGGCGGAAGCCUGAUCCAGCAACGCCGCGUGAGGGAUGACGGCCUUCGGGUUGUAAACCUCUUUCAGCACAGACGAAGCUCUUUGGGGUGACGGUAUGUGCAGAAGAAGCACCGGCCAACUACGUGCCAGCCGCCGCGGUAAGAC